rnacentral:rRNA from 1 species
GACGAACGCUGGCGGCGUGCCUAACACAUGCAAGUCGAGCGAAUGAAGUUCCUUCGGGAAUGGAUUUAGCGGCGGACGGGUGAGUAACACGUGGGCAACCUGCCUCAUAGAGGGGAAUAGCCUUCCGAAAGGGAGAUUAAUACCGCAUAAGAUUGUAGUAUCGCAUGAUACAGCAAUUAAAGGAGCAAUCCGCUAUGAGAUGGGCCCGCGGCGCAUUAGCUAGUUGGUGAGGUAACGGCUCACCAAGGCGACGAUGCGUAGCCGACCUGAGAGGGUGAUCGGCAACUGUGGGAGGGAACCCGGCCCAAGCCCCCUCGGGGAGGAGGCGGUGGGGAAUUUUGCAAAAGGGGGGAACCCGUGAUGCAGCACCCCCGGGGGAGUGAUGAGGGCCUGGGGGUGGAAAAGCUCUUUUUUCAGGGAAGAUAAGGGCGGGCCCUGAGGAGAAAACCACGGCAACCCCCGCC